GGAUGCGAUCAUACCAGCACUAAAGCACCGGAUCCCAUCAGAACUCCGUAGUUAAGCGUGCUUGGGCGAGACUAGUACUAGGAUGGGUGACCUCCUGGGAAGUCCUCGUGUUGCACUCC
rnacentral:rRNA from 1 species